rnacentral:rRNA from 1 species
AGUGAACGCUGGCGGUAGGCCUAACACAUGCAAGUCGAACGGCAGCACAGGAGAGCUUGCUCUCUGGGUGGCGAGUGGCGGACGGGUGAGGAAUACAUCGGAAUCUACUCUGUCGUGGGGGAUAACGUAGGGAAACUUACGCUAAUACCGCAUACGACCUACGGGUGAAAGCAGGGGAUCUUCGGACCUUGCGCGAUUGAAUGAGCCGAUGUCGGAUUAGCUAGUUGGCGGGGUAAAGGCCCACCAAGGCGACGAUCCGUAGCUGGUCUGAGAGGAUGAGCAGCCACACUGGAACUGAGACACGGGCCAGACUCCUACGGGAGGCAGCCGUGGGGAAUAUUGGACAAUGGGCGCAAGCCUGAUCCAGCCAUACCGCGUGGGUGAAGAAGGCCUUCGGGUUGUAAAGCCCUUUUGUUGGGAAAGAAAUCCAGCUGGCUAAUACCCGGUUGGGAUGACGGUACCCAAAGAAUAAGCACCGGCUAACUUCGUGCCAGCCGCCGCGGUAA